GGAGAACUGUCAGGCAGGCUGUGAUCUUGUGGGUCUUGAAUGGGAGGAGGCCUCACCAGGGCUGGGAAUCCCAAUCACUCAGGCUCUAAACACCGGGAAUCUUCUCUCCUAACUAACACAACGUGAGCCCGGACUGUCUUUCCGGAGACAAGCAAGAAACAUUACCUCUGCAUGAAUUGUUUAUUUGUAUAUGCAUAGUACAUUUCAUGACAGUGGUCAAGGAUGCCAGCGCCAGCGGAGUAACAAGAUGGGAUGAAGGCCAGAAAUGGACAGAGCAGCUGCUGGAAGUUAUGUGUGCUGUCCCACUGACUUCAGAAGCCGUAGUUCUAAAUGACAGAUAGAGAAAUGAAAACGAGGAUCAAGUCCAUGCUCAGCUGGGUACUAGAGACAGUCAAAGCCUCCAGGCCGUUCUGCAAUAAAAACUCAGCAAGUUGGAAGGACACAGCCCAAAGCUUUUCAGACAGCCAGGAAGUUCUGCUGACAGCACUAAAAUCCAGGGUCUUCAUAUAGCAUCUGAGGCAGGUGUGUUUAUCCAGCCGAGCGGAAGCCGGAAACGUGUCCUCCGAGGAUGGCCUCUCAGUUUCCUGUGGGCUGAAGACUUAGUGUGUUUUCCUGCUCCCUGACCUUGAACCCUGACUCUCCUUCUGGAUCUGUGAUCAGAUUGGAUUCUUGGGCUUUGUUUGGAUUGUGGGGUCAAGUCCCUCGGGAGCCUUUGUAUUGUUGCACGCCAAGGAUGCGCCCUCUCAGCAGGAGGGGUGGGGGCUGCUUUGUGAACUGUGAUCUAAAGCCAGUGUCUAAAACAGUCAUAUUUCAGCCCCAGGUCAGCAAGCACAAUCCAUACAUUUAUAUGUUCAUAUAUACAUACACUUACAUAUUCAUAUAUACAUACAUUUUUAUAUUCAUACAAAUGCAUUCAUAGCAAAAUAAUGAUUUGCACCAAAAUACACAGAGGCCCAAUGUUUGAGGAUAAUAGCCCAGCCCUUCUUUCCAGGUAAGUUUUGCAUCCUGCUAAGGAGAUAGAUCUCAUUAUUUUUAUAAAUUUCUGAACUGAUAUAGCCUAGUAGAUGCCCCAAGUUACACUAAAAUUAACUGUUCUCAAAACUUCCAUUUUCAAAAUCCCUUGUGCUUACCCCAACACACACCGGUGCUAGAAAUUAUUGAGCCAGGAGCCUUGUAUAUGAGAAGUAAAUUCUCUGUCAUCAAGCUACCUCUCCAGCUCUCAGGUCCAAAUGUGAACUUGUUGACGUGAGCCUCUGAUUGAACAGACACUGGGGAAGGCCAGAGCAGCCACACUCAUGACUGCUUCUUAGAUACACUUGGCCCUAUUAGUUCGUUCAGAAUGAUAACAAAAUGCCCAUUGAUUGGGAGCAUCAUAACAACAGAUAUUUAUAUCUUACACUGUUGGAAGCUGGAAAAUCAAAGGUAACAGUUGCUUGGUGUUCAGCAUGGUCCAAGUUCUUGAGCUGCCCUCAGAAGGCAGGAGAGGUGAGGAGUUCUCUGAAGUCCCUUCUAGGACCCUUUCAACCCCAACAGCCUCAUUGUCUAACAUCACCAAAUUUUGAGGGAGAUGGGAGUAUUCCAGACAUUUUGAUUACAGCACACCAAAAUUCAUGACAUUCCCAGGAUCUCCAAACAGUAAUUAUAAUAGAAAUAGGAACAAAAUGACUAGUCAAGAUGAUGUCACACUCCCCUGGAAUGGGUCCCUGAACCCAGUUUGACUGGCACCUUUAGAACAAUAAAUAGGAAAAGCUAGUCAAAACAAGAGACACAGGGUGGAAUGUCAUACGAAGACAUGGUUGGAGUGAAGUAUUUAAACCAAGGUGUGCUAAUGAUUACUGGCAAGGACACAAAUAAAGAAAAGGGACUGAGACUUCUUGAGAGUCUUUUGAGAUAGGCUACCCCACUGAUACCUUGAUUUCAGACUUUUGGCUCUAGCACCAUUUAAGUAUAAAUUCCUUUGUCUUUAGCACCAGUUAAGAACUGUUCAUUAGGUCGGUGCUAGGAAAGGCACAAGGCAGUCUGACCCAACGACUCUGAAACCACUUUGGAGAACCACUGAUCAAAGUUCAUGGCCCACCUCCCUCUUUGGCUUCCAUUCCUUUCUUAUCAUGCCCAUGACAAAGUCUUCCCUGGAAUAGUUCUUAUUGUGUCUCUUUGCAUCUAUCCCGCACCUGAUUAUUUCCCUAAGAAGAAUUUUCACUAGCU